AGCUUUGUGCAGUGGCAGUAUUGUAGCCAAUGAGGUUUACCUGAGGUGUGAUUACUGCUAUUGAAAACUUUUCCAAUACCCCGCUGUGACAACUUGCAAUAUAGUCAGCAUUGGCGAUGUUUGACAGUCUCCAUGAAGA
ensembl:snRNA U4 U4 spliceosomal RNA